UCGGUAAGUACAAACCCACAAACCCGUUCUCAAAAUUGAAUUAAAAAACACCGACAAAUAAAGAUCAGUUAAUUUUUGAGUUUUUCAAUUCAAUAAAAUUUCAGUCAUCUAUGUUGGUGAAGGUUGCACAUUAUGAGCUAAAUCUAAAUUUCGUCUAGUGCAUGAAGUCAAGCAUAAUUAACCAUCUAGAAAAAUCCAGCAAAGUCGAAAACAUUUAGAAGUCAUUGCUUUCUUAGAAGACACGUUUUAAUUACUUUUAAUUAAAUUUUUAUUAGCGCAAAUUCUGGUUGGUCAUAUAUUCUGUAAGGGAAAAGUAAGUAGUAAUAUAAAUUUGACAUGACUUUUCAAAGCAGCUUCGAACCCUUUUUAAGAUGUUAAUUUAAUUUACUGAAUAUUAAUGGAAGGUUUGGAUCAAUUAAAAAAUAUUAAAAUGCUUUAAAUGCUAUUAUUGUUGCAACAUUUCAUUGUAAGUAUAUGUAAAUAAUCGGAAUGUCAGAUUUCAACUUAAGAAAUUAAAAAUUGAGUAGAUCAGGAGAUUAUAAAGAAAUAAUUUGCUUCGGCAUUGCUAUAUAUUUUUUUGGAGAUACUAACAAAUGACAUUUCAUGACUCUGGUGAUUAGGUUCUCGUUUUAAACUAAAAUAAUCAUUGAAACGCAUAUCAAUAUAUUUUUCUAUAUCGUGUUGUUCACCAGAAGCCUUCAAUGCUUUAUAUAGGUGUUCAAAUAAUUUGCAUGAAUCUCUUUAAUCCUCAUCAGUUUUAAUCGCUAGGAUGCUGAAGAUACAGAUUUCUCAUAGGCAAUUUGUAAUCACUAGUCAUUCGUUUUGUACGACCAAAGCGCAUCUAUCCGGACAGGACAUGAAUUAGGUAUUAUUAUAAACUCACAACAUUUCAUACUCUACUUAAAAUUAGAUGGGUUUUGCAAUUACUUGAUGUACUUGAUGUUUUUUUUAUUGUGCUCAAACUGAAAAUAUAACACCGGUUUAAUUAAUAGGCAAUACUGAAAUACCACGAAUUGGUCGGUGAUACUCAUAUAACCUGUACGUUUGAAGUUUUAUGAAUAUACUCCGUUGCCUACAAUAAAAUUAAUAAAAGACUAUGAUAAAAGUUUGAAAUAAAUCACAUAUUGUAAACAUGGUAAUCCUAACUCACUAUUCAUCUACUUACUCUCCUUAG